UGCGUAGGCGGCGUACUAAGUCAGGGGUGAAAUCCUCCCGCUUAACGGGAGAACUGCCCUUGAUACUGGUAUGCUCGGAUGGGCGCGAGGUAAGCGGAACGCGGCAUGUAGCGGUGAAAUGCUUAGAUAUGCCGCAGAACACCGAUUGCGUAGGCAGCUUACCAGAGCUCUAUCGACGCUGAGGCACGAAAGCGUGGGGAGCGAACAGGAUUAGAUACCCUGGUAGUCC
rnacentral:rRNA from 1 species